rnacentral:SRP_RNA from 10 species
GCUGGGUGUGGUGGUACGCACAUAUAGUCCCAGUUGCUCAGAAGGCUGAGGCAGGAGGAUUGCUUGAGCCCAGGAGCUCUGCGCUGUAACAUACUAUGGUCAUCGGGUGUCUACACUAAGUUUGGCAUCAAUAUGGUGAGCCCCCAGGAGAUUGCCUAAGGAGAGGUGAACCAGCCCAGGUUGGAAACGGAGCAGGUCAAAACUCCCGUCUUGAUCGGUAGUGGGAUUGUGCCUGUAAAUAGCUAUUGCACUCAUCUCUAAAAAAAAUAAAAAUAAAAAU